rnacentral:rRNA from 1 species
UACGAAGGGGGCUAGCGUUGUUCGGAAUUACUGGGCGUAAAGCGCACGUAGGCGGAUACUUAAGUCAGGGGUGAAAUCCCGGGGCUCAACCCCGGAACUGCCUUUGAUACUGGGUAUCUCGAGUCCGGAAGAGGUGAGUGGAAUUCCGAGUGUAGAGGUGAAAUUCGUAGAUAUUCGGAGGAACACCAGUGGCGAAGGCGGCUCACUGGUCCGGUACUGGACGCUGAGGUGCGAAAGCGUGGGGAGCAAACAGG